GACGGGAGCAGGAAAGGAGAGCUCUUUUGCUUGCUGCUGCCUUGGGCACGGAGAGGAGGCUGCUGCUGGUGGGGAAGGCAAGAGCAGGCACUGCUGCUCCCUGCUCCGUGGAUUCCCAGGGAGGCCUGCAGGCGAGGCCGAUCUGUGCUUGGCCUCCAUGUGCUGCUGACCUGAUCCCGGGCACUAAAAAGCUCACACAACAGGGAGAAAAUGAGCCACCCUGCAGGAGCGGGGAUUUGAGGGGAGCUUGGUUCACCAUGCUCCUGGCCACACUGCCCGGGGCGCCCGCUGGCCCCUGCCCAGCUCUGCGAAUGCUGCUGCUUUACUGCAGUGCCACAGGGGGAAACCUCGCCUGAUCGGGCACUGUCCGUUGUGACCCUGAACGCGUCAAUCGCAUCACUCAUCUUGCAGGUUCAUGCUGCCACGGGAUACCUCCUCCUUAUUUCAUUCUUUUGCAAGAAGAAAAGUUGCCAAGCAUUGAACCGAGGGCAGGGCAGCGUGCAGUGUGUUUCAGCCCGGCUCAGUAAAAAAUCAUUCCUGGUUGCUGAAGGACCUGCUCAAACAGCUCCAAGCAAGUUCUGCCACCUGUUUGAGAUCCGCAGCACCACGCUUAGCACAGCAGGAACUAGACACAAUCCUGGCUGCCUUAACCACUUCCUUUGAGAGGAGAGAGCUACAGCUGAGAAAAGCCGCUGCCAGGAAGAAGUGAAUAGAACUAACAAGGCUAUUGAGCUGGCCAACAGAUUAGUGAAAGGUCUGAGGUGAGGUCCUACAGGGCAGGCUAAUGAAGCAGUCCACAGAAAGCACUUCUUUGUUAUACACUACUGAUCUGGCAAUAACAGAGGCACUUAGCAAAGAACCUGAUGAGCUGAAAAAAUUAUGUCAUUAU